rnacentral:rRNA from 1 species
AGCGUAGGCGGUAACUACAAGACAGGGGUCAAAUCUACCGGGCUCAACCUGGAACUUGCCUUUGUGACUGUGGUUCUUGAGUAUGGUAGAGGUUGGCGGAAUUUCCGGUGUAGCGGUGGAAUGCGUAGAGAUCGGAAAGAACACCAGAGGCGAAGGCGGCCAACUGGACCAAUACUGACGCUGAGGCUCGAAAGCGUGGGGAGCAAACAGGAUUAGAUACCCUGGUAGUCCACGCUGUAAACGAUGAACACUAGAUGUCGGGAGGGGUUCCUUCCGGUGUCGUCGCUAACGCAGUAAGUGUUCCGCCUGGGGAGUACGCUCGCAAGGGUGAA